AUUGAACGCUGGCGGCAGGCCUAACACAUGCAAGUCGAACGAGUGGCGGACGGGUGAGUAAUGUAUGGGAAACUGCCCGAUGGAGGGGGAUAACUACUGGAAACGGUAGCUAAUACCGCAUACCAUCAGAUGUGCCCAGAUGGGAUUAGCUAGUUGGUGGGGUAACGGCUCACCAAGGCGACGAACCCUAGCUGGUCGGAGAGGAUGACCAGCCCCACGUGGACUCAGACACGGGCCAGACUCAGACGGGAGGCAGGAGUGGGGAAUAUUGCACAAUGGGCGCAAGCCUGAUGCAGCCAUGCCGCGUGUAUGAAGAAGGCCUUCGGGUUGUAAAGUACUUUCAGCGGGGAGGCGUUACCCGCAGAAGAAGCACCGGCUAACUCCGUGCCAGCAGCCGCGGUAAUAC
rnacentral:rRNA from 1 species